rnacentral:rRNA from 1 species
GAUGAACGCUGGCGGCGUGCCUAAUACAUGCAAGUCGAGCGAACAGACGAGGAGCUUGCUCCUCUGACGUUAGCGGCGGACGGGUGAGUAACACGUGGAUAACCUACCUAUAAGACUGGGAUAACUUCGGGAAACCGGAGCUAAUACCGGAUAAUAUAUUGCACCGCAUGGUUCAAUAGUGAAAGACGGUUUUGCUGUCACUUAUAGCUGGAUCCGCGCCGCAUUAGCUAGUUGGUAAGGUAACGGCUUACCAAGGCAACGAUGCGUAGCCGACCUGAGAGGGUGAUCGGCCACACUGGAACUGAGACACGGUCCAGACGCCUACGGGAGGCAGCAGUAGGGAAUCUUCCGCAAUGGGCGAAAGCCUGACGGAGCAACGCCGCGUGAGUGAUGAAGGUCUUCGGAUCGUAAAACUCUGUUAUUAGGGAAGAACAAAUGUGUAAGUAACUAUGCACGUCUUGACGGUACCUAAUCAGAAAGCCACGGCUAACUACGUG